GCGGGUGUAGCUCAAUGGUAGAGCCCCAGCCUUCCAAGCUGGUCACGUGGGUUCGAUUCCCAUCACCCGCUCCA
rnacentral:tRNA from 40 species